GGACUCUAGAAUUUUCCUAUUUAUCCGUUUCUUAAUAAAUUGGAGUGCAAUUAUUUGCUGACCUUCAUUUGAAAUACUGACCUAGAGCUGUAAGAAUGCUCUUUAUGUUGACCUCCUUAUUCUAUGAUUAUCAAAGAUCACCCUGUUCAGGUUCAACGAACGUCCUUGAAUCAAUAAUGUAAGAUAUUUGAAAAUAUUAUGUGUUGAAUUUUGCCAAGCGUCUUUGUCUCUUGUUUCUACUGAGGUUCUGUCAAAGCUCAAGUGCAAUGUGAAUGCUCAGACGGAGAGUCACUUCUGUGAGAGAAGUCAGCACUGGAUGUAUCCACGUGGGCGUGCUUCACAUCGGGGACUUGGUUACAGAAGUCCUCUCAGAUAGAACAUUUCUGACGUUCUUCAGCAUCAGUUGCCUCAUACUUCCUGUCAGAGUGGAAACCGGAAGUCCAAGAUUAGGGCGAGAACUACCAAGAUGGAUUCAGAGCUUCACUAUCUCUAACUUUGUUUGCCUUGAGAAAACUCUUCCGAGAAGUAUGCAGGUAUAAGGAACACUUCUACCUAGGAUUCCUCCACCCUCCUCCUGUCAUUCAGAGUCAGUCAAGUCUUGAGAUAAAAGACAACAGACUCUAGAUGCCCUCUGAUACAAACAGGCUUUCUAGUAAAGCUGGGUUCCCGUGUUUCAGCUACAUGUUGAGCUCCACGUCCUCAGCAUGUGACACCAUUGCUGUGAAUUCUGAAGCUCCUCUCGGCUACAAAAAGCAAAACAAAAGGAACUGUUUACACACUGUUAUCCAUUAGUUUUGUAUUGCACAUUUUAAAACCUGUUCUGGAUACCCUGAAUUCUCAUCAGUGUGUUGAUUUCUAGGUCAUCUUCUCAUAACGAUAAAUUAAAACAGAAGAAUUCACGACAAUAAGCUGUUCUUUUAGAACCUUUGUGUUACAAAGGUGCUGAUGAAGAAUACUUGGGUACUUCUUAUAAACUAGAAAAAGUGUAGUUGUGGAUAAAG
rnacentral:lncRNA from 1 species